rnacentral:lncRNA from 1 species
UUCAAUAGUAGGUCAACUACUGCCCCAGAUUUCAGUCAAUUUGCAUAUGUGGCCAAGAGCAGGAAGCCCGUGAUUCCAACCCGCAGGAGUUGAUUGUGUGCAGUAUAUUUCGAUGUAGAUAGAUGCAUCUGCUGAACUCCUAGACAAAACAAUGGUUGCCACCUUUAUGGUUCCCAGGCAUGGCCAAUUAAAGUGAACAUUUGCUUGUGUUUUAUGAUAAUGUGGGAACAGUACUUGUUCUGAUGCUUUGCCAUCCAACUGUUAUGAGCAGGGUUGAUCCAGUAACAUGUUCUGCGCGAGUUGAAAUCAUCAAUGACGUUGCUAUCCCUGUGACUCAUGUCCAUCAUCUUCGAUGCCGUUGAUCAAGAUGUUACUCCCUCAUUUCAAGGCGGUGGAGGGGCCACAUUAAGUUUGAUUGAUUUUGGGGGAAGGAGAUCCAUUUCAUCAGGUCGAACUAGCAUGCUAAAAUUGCUAGAGACCUCUUGUUUAUUUUUGAUUUCUGGAUCACUUUGAUUGGAAUUAUCUUUGGAUUUCAUUCCGGAAAGGCUCAAAUACAGAGUUCUGAUGGACUGGGUUACAUUUUGCUUUCCCGGUUGCGAGGGGCAAUGUGGGAUUCACAAUCACAUAGUAUUAUUUAAUGCAAUUUUGCAGGGGAUUGUUUUGUGGAAUGUGUAAAUGAUCCAGACGACAAGAAUUUGC